AGAGUUUGAUCCUGGCUCAGGACAAACGCUGGCGGCGUGCCUAACACAUGCAAGUCGCACGUCCUCCCUGUUUUCGGAUAGGGAGGGAGUGGCGGACGGGUGAGGAACACGUGGGUGACCUACCCCGAGGUGAGGGAUACCGGGGCGAAAGCCUCGACAAUCCCGCAUAGCUUUCUCUGAUCGUACAGGGAAAGAAAGCA
rnacentral:rRNA from 1 species